ensembl:lncRNA
GUCAAGUUUAAAGGUGUAAAAACAAGUACAGGAUAUUUACAAUAAGCAGACCUCAGUGCAAGAAAGUGUCUUUCCAACACUGAAAAGGUCAAAGGUCAACUUUAAAGGUGUAAAAACAAGUACAGGAUAUUUACAAUAAGCAGACCUCAGUGCAAGAAAGUGUCUUUCCAACACUGAAAAGGUCAAAGGUCAAGUUUAAAGGUGUAAAAACAAGUACAGGAUAUUUACAAUAAGCAGACCUCAGUGCAAGAAAGUGUCUUUCCAACACUGAAAAGGUCAAAGGUGAACUUUAAAGUUAAAAGGUACAAAAACAAGUACAGGAUAUUUACAAUAAGCAGACCUCAGUGCAAGAAAGUGUCUUUCCAACACUGAAAAGGUUAAAGGUCAAGUUUAAAGGUGUAAAAACAAGUACAAGAUAUUUACAAUAAGCAGACCUCAGUGCAAGAAAGUGUCUUUCCAACACUGAAAAGGUCAAAGGUCAACUUUAAAGGUGUAAAAACAAGUACAGGAUAUUUACAAUAAGCAGACCUCAGUGCAAGAAAGUGUCUUUCCAACA